CCUACGGGAGGCAGCAGUGGGGAAUAUUGGGCAAUGGAGGAAACUCUGACCCAGCGACGCCGCGUGCGGGAUGAAGGCCUUCGGGUUGUAAACCGCUUUCAGUAGGGAAGAAGCGAAAGUGACGGUACCUACAGAAGAAGCACCGGCUAACUAUGUGCCAGCAGCCGCGGUAAUACAUAGGGUGCAGGCGUUGUCCGGAAUUAUUGGGCGUAAAGAGCUCGUAGGUGGUUCGUCACGUCGGAUGUGAAAAUCUGGGGCUCAACCCCAGACCUGCAUUCGAUACGGGCGAUCUAGAGUGUGGUAGGGGAGACUGGAAUUCCUGGUGUAGCGGUGGAAUGCGCAGAUAUCAGGAGGAACACCAAUGGCGAAGGCAGGUCUCUGGGCCAUUACUGACACUGAGGAGCGAAAGCGUGGGGAGCGAACAGGAUUAGAUACCCUGGUAGUCCACGCCGUAAACGGUGGGCACUAGUUGUGGGAACCUUCCACGGUUUCUGCGACGCAGCUACGCAUAGUAGCCCGCCGUCGGGAGGUACGAGUCGCGAAGAAUUAAACUAACAAUAGAAGUUAGACGGCGUGAGACGUCGCCGACGGACGACGACGAGGGAGGUUAGG
rnacentral:rRNA from 1 species